GACGUAGGGCGCGAGCGUUGUCCGGAUUUAUUGGGCGUAAAGAGCUCGUAGGCGGCUUGUCGCGUCGACUGUGAAAUCCCGCGGCUCAACUGCGGGUCUGCAGUCGAUACGGGCAGGCUAGAGUUCGGUAGGGGAGACUGGAAUUCCUGGUGUAGCGGUGAAAUGCGCAGAUAUCAGGAGGAACACCGGUGGCGAAGGCGGAUCUCUGGGCCUGUUCUGACGCUGAGGCGCGAAAGCUAGGGGGAGCGAACAGG
rnacentral:rRNA from 1 species